rnacentral:tRNA from 1 species
GCACCCGUAGCUCAAUUUUGGAUAGAGCAACGCACUCCUAACGCGUAGGUUGCUGGUUCGACUCCGGUCGGGUGCA